UGGGGGAUAUUGCACAAUGGGGGGAAACCCUGAUGCAGCGACGCCGCGUGAGUGAAGAAGUAUUUCGGUAUGUAAAGCUCUAUCAGCAGGGAAGAAGAUGACAGUACCUGAGUAAGAAGCCCCGGCUAACUACGUGCCAGCAGCCGCGGUAAUACGUAGGGGGCAAGCGUUAUCCGGAUUUACUGGGUGUAAAGGGAGCGCAGACGGAUGGAUAAGUCUGAAGUGAAAGCCCGCGGCUCAACUGCGGGACUGCUUUGGAAACUGUGCAUCUUGAGUACGGGAGGGGCAGGCGGAAUUCCUGGUGUAGCGGUGAAAUGCGUAGAUAUCAGGAGGAACACCGGCGGCGAAGGCGGCCUGCUGGACCGAAACUGACGUUGAGGCUCGAAAGCGUGGGGAGCAAACAGGAUUAGAUACC
rnacentral:rRNA from 1 species